rfam:Triticum aestivum genome assembly, contig: Triticum_aestivum_CS42_TGACv1_scaffold_677545_T_6BL-0.034536_2BS-0.028949
UGUGUACUCCCUCCGUUCCAAAAUACUUGAGUUCCAUUUGUCCAAAAAUGGAUGUGCCUAUAUACUAAAACAUCUCUAGAUACAUAUAUAUUUUGACAAAUAGAAGGCAUGUAUUGUGCAACGGAGGGAGUAGAAU